CGUAGCGUUGGUACGUGCUUUGGUGCAGGGCCUCUUCUCGAGCGCUGAUUUCCAGGGUGCUGUUCCAGAUGCCAUAUCCAAAAUAAAUCAGCAGACCUGUGGGGCCAGGGGAAAGAUAAGUAAACUGAGGCCCAAAGAAGUUAAGUAAAUUUCCUAAAGUCACAAGACAAAGGAGGGGCGGAGCUGUGAUUUGAAGUUGGUGCUGUUUGACUCCAAAGGCUGUCAGCUUCUUUGCGCAAGGACUGAGUCAUCUCUGCAUUCUCAGCACCUGGUGCAAUUUAAGCAGAAAUAUCGUGAAGAUUUUUCGUGUCUUCAGGGAGAUUAGGAAUGGGAAUGGAAUGGGAACGCCAAUGCAGGAAGGAUGAGAAGAGAGUGUCUGCAGAUCUGAUAAUAGUUGUAAAAUAACAUGGCCACACUGAGAUAGAGGGAAGGUUAAGGCUCCUUGAACUUACUUAAAUUGGUGGCAGCACGAGCUUUCAGCAUCAUGGCCAGCAUGACCAAGCCAUUUCCCUGGUGUUCCCCUCAGCAUGAAACAUCUGUCUACUUAUUUCUUUGCUGAGCCUGAAUGGAAUAUUCCAUCUCUGAAAAAUAAACUUUGUGUUUAAAUUGAAAUCUUUAUUCCUAUCUGGCAAAUUGACUAUAUAUCCUCAACAAUUGGAAGGAAGUGAUGUAUCUGCUGCCAUCAGCUACAAAGCACUGGACGCCCACAGUGCUAUUUAUUAGAUUUACAUGAAUUCCAGGUGAAUCUGAUCCAGUGGCUACAAAAACAGAUCUGAUACUUCUAUAAGCCUGGCACCUAAAUCAGUUUCUGAUUGAAAUGAGUACAGGCAAGCUCUGAGGCAGCUCUAUCCAGGGCUAUGAUAAGAAUGAGGUGAACACAUUUUACCCUACAUGGAAAUGUCCAUUCCGACAAGUGCUAAUUUGACAAUGGUAAUGAUUACUAUGGGUUGAAUUGGAUUAUCCCAAAAGAUAUGUUAAAGCCCUAACCGCUGGUUCCUAUAAAUGUGAUUGUAUUUGGAAAUAGGGUGGAUGCAGAUAUAAUUAGUUAACAUACUGGAGUAGGGUGGAUCUUUAAUUAAAUAAAACUGAUGUCUUUGUAAGAAGAGAAGAGACACAGACACAGACGGAAGAUGACCAUGUGAAGAUGGAGGCAGAGAUUGAAAUUAUGCUGCCACAAGCCAAGGAACUCUUGGGGCUACCAGAAGCUGGACAACGGCAAGGGAGAAUUGCCUGUAGAGCUUUGAAGGGGACAUAGCUCUUCUAUCAGCUUGAUUUCAGAAUUCCUGCCUCCAGAACUGCGAGACAAAAAAGCUCUGUUGUUUUAAGCCACCUAGUUUGCAUUACUUUGUUAUGGCAGCCCUUGAAAAUUAACAAUGAUUAUAAUAGUAAUAUGAAUAAUAGCAACAGCAUCUCAUUUAUUGUUUUCUAUAUGUUAAUAACAAUUCCAAGUGCUUUAUACAUAUUAACUUAUGGGCUUUAGGAUCUCAUUUUACAGAUGAGGAAGCAAGUAGAGAAAGCAAAAGAAAGACAUUGAAACGUGCAACGGGGAAAUCUGUUUCCGUAUAAAUAAAACAAACCAUCUGAGGAGCCUU
rnacentral:sRNA from 1 species